AUGCUCCCAGGUGGUUGGGGCAUCCCUGGGGAGAUGCCACCACGGCUGCCCCUUACACCACCCCUUCCCGAGGACCAGGAUGCCCUCCCACCCUCCCCACCGCAUCCCCAUCCCAGGGGCGCAUCGCUGCGAGCACCGAGCCCCCUGCAAGGAUGCUGUACCUGGGGUCAGCGGCGUGGUCCAGCCGGGGGGGUUGUUGCCAAGCAACCCGUCUCCCCCCGCCGGGUUUCCAUGGCGAUGGCGAUGCUGCCGAGGCGGGCUGGGAGCCAGGCAGAUGCUGAAUUUCACAAAGCUGCACCCCUGCCCCAAAGCUCGGCGCAAGCCUGCAGGCACGGGGCUGCAAGCGGCGCAGGAGCUCCUGCAGCCAAAAGUGGGGCAGGAGCUGGGUGCUCCGUGGGGAGGCAGCGGGUGGGCGCACGUGGGUACGUGAGGGGACCUUGGCAGCCCGUCAGACCCCUGGGAGCAGGGCUGAAGAAAGCCAGCUUGAAAGCUUGGAGCUUCACUGAGUGUUAUCGGUGCCUUUGGACGUGGAGCAGGGGAGCACUCGGGAUCCCGGCGCUGGUGGCUCCAAUGGAGCCGGCGGCUGCAGCGAGCGCCUUGCCGAGGAGCAGCCAGCCACGAAGCCGUGCCAGGUGGGACCGGGCCUGCCAAAAUAAACCAGACAGCUCCAAACAUCAGUUUCACCACCAGAAGGAAGCGUUCAGACCGUUCCCUGCCUUCCCUUCCCUUCCUUCCUUGCAGCUGCUUGGAAAUCUCACCCCAUGGAAGCACCAAACCACGUCACCGCUGGUACCGAGCCCAGGAAAUCCACCGCCAGUGACAAGUAAAAAGGGGAAAGAAGAUUUAUAA
rnacentral:lncRNA from 1 species